rnacentral:rRNA from 1 species
UACGUAGGGGGCAAGCGUUGUUCGGAAUUACUGGGCGUAAAGGGCGCGUAGGCGGCACAGCAAGUCGGGAGUGAAAGCCCGGGGCUCAACCCCGGAAUGGCUUUCGAAACUGCUGAGCUAGAGUACAGAAGGGGCAACCGGAAUUCCCAGUGUAGCGGUGAAAUGCGUAGAUAUUGGGAAGAACACCUGAGGCGGAGGCGGGUUGCUGGGCUGAUACUGACGCUGAGGCGCGAAAGCCAGGGGAGCAAACGGG